ACAUAGAAUAAAAAUAUACUCUUUCCAUUUCAAAUUCAAAAUAUGCAUGUUUUAGAACCUUCACAUAUAUUAAAAAAAUUAUAUAAUUUUGAUUAUUAAUUUAUUAUUUUUUUGUAUUUAACUAAGAUAACUUAUGGCCAAUAAAUUUUCAAUAGAUAUAAUUUUUUUUUGAAGUUUACCGUGAUGGGAAGAAAGGUAUGACAUCCCAGACAUUCUAUGUUGUAUGCAACUGUCUGUGUCCAAAAGCCGGUUGCACUUCUUACCACUGAUGUUAAGCCGGUACCGUGAUGGAACUCAAUUGGAUUAAAUUAGUGUCACUAAGAAUACAGAAUAAAGAUUUCUGCAGAAGAAAAAGACUAGAGGAAUGAAAGAGAUGAUGAAGAGAAGUCAUAAGCUGGAUAUCUAUUGGAUUUUUCCUCACAGAAUUUCUAUGGCGGAAAGUAGGGCUGAGCAUUUUAUCCGUUAAAUUUAAUUUGAUUCGUUAUUUGUUGUUAUUCGAUCCGAAAAUUCCGGAUAUCCGUAAGCUUUCGAAGCAAAACAAAUACUAAAAUUAAAUA